AGUGAACGCUGGCGGUAGGCCUAACACAUGCAAGUCGAACGGCAGCACAGUAAGAGCUUGCUCUUACGGGUGGCGAGUGGCGGACGGGUGAGGAAUACAUCGGAAUCUACUUUUUCGUGGGGGAUAACGUAGGGAAACUUACGCUAAUACCGCAUACGACCUACGGGUGAAAGCAGGGGAUCUUCGGACCUUGCGCGAUUGAAUGAGCCGAUGUCGGAUUAGCUAGUUGGCGGGGUAAAGGCCCACCAAGGCGACGAUCCGUAGCUGGUCUGAGAGGAUGAUCAGCCACACUGGAACUGAGACACGGUCCAGACUCCUACGGGAGGCAGCAGUGGGCAAUAUUAGACAAUGGGCGCAAGCCUGAUCCAGCCAUACCGCGUGGGUGAAGAAGGCCUUCGGGUUGUAAAGCCCUUUUGUUGGGAAAGAAAAGCAGCAGGUUAAUACCCCGCUGUUCUGACGGUACCCAAAGAAUAAGCACCGGCUAACUUCGUG
rnacentral:rRNA from 1 species